GACGAACGCUGGCGGCGUGCUUAACACAUGCAAGUCGAACGGAAAGGCCCUGCUUGCAGGGUGCUCGAGUGGCGAACGGGUGAGUAACACGUGGGUGAUCUGCCCCUUACUUUGGGAUAAGCCUGGGAAACUGGGUCUAAUACUGGAUAGGACCAUGCUGUAGGUGGUGUGGUGGAAAGAUUUUUUCGGUAAGGGAUGAGCUCGCGGCCUAUCAGCUUGUUGGUGGGGUAAUGGCCUACCAAGGCGUCGACGGGUAGCCGGCCUGAGAGGGUGGACGGCCACAUUGGGACUGAGAUACGGCGCAGACUCCUACGGGAGGCAGCAGUGGGGAAUAUUGCACAAUGGGCGCAAGCCUGAUGCAGCGACGCCGCGUGGGGGAUGACGGCCUUCGGGUUGUAAACUCCUUUCAGCCAUGACGAAGCCUCUUUUGGGGUGACGGUAGUGGUAGAAGAAGCACCGGCUAACUACGUG
rnacentral:rRNA from 1 species